GACGAACCGUACGAACGUUAUUCGGAAUCACUGGGCUUAAAGGGUGCGUAGGCUGCGCAGAAAGUUGGGUGUGAAAUCCCUCGGCUCAACCGAGGAACUGCGCCCAAAACUACUGUGCUCGAGGGAGACAGAGGUGAGCGGAACUUAGGGUGGAGCGGUGAAAUGCGUUGAUAUCCUAAGGAACACCGGUGGCGAAAGCGGCUCACUGGGUCUCGUUCUGACGCUGAGGCACGAAAGCUAGGUAGCGAACGGGG
rnacentral:rRNA from 1 species